UACGGGGGGAGCAAGCGUUGUUCGGAUUUACUGGGCGUAAAGGGCGCGUAGGCGGCCACCGCAAGUCGACUGUGAAAUCUCCGGGCUUAACCCGGAAAGGUCAGCCGAUACUGCGGGGCUAGAGUGCAGAAGGGGCAACUGGAAUUCUCGGUGUAGCGGUGAAAUGCGUAGAUAUCGAGAGGAACACCUGCGGCGAAGGCGGGAUGCUGGGCUGACACUGACGCUGAGGCGCGAAAGCUAGGGGAGCGAACGGG
rnacentral:rRNA from 1 species